AUACGUCGGGGGCAAGCGUUGUCCGGAAUGAUUGGGCGUAAAGGGCGCGUAGGCGGCCUUGUAAGUCCGAUGUGAAAUUCCUGCUUUUAAGGUAGGAAUUGCAUUGGAAACUGCGGGGCUUGAGUGCAGGAGUGGUAAGCGGAAUUCCCGGUGUAGCGGUGAAAUGCGUAGAGAUCGGGAGGAACACCAGUGGCGAAGGCGGCUUACUGGACUGUAACUGACGCUGAGGCGCGAAAGUGUGGGGAGCAAACAGGAUUAGAUACCCUGGUAGUCCACACUGUAAACGAUGAAUGCUAGGUGUAGGAGGUAUCGACCCCUUCUGUGCCGGAGUCAACACAAUAAGCAUUCCGCCUGGGGAGUACGGCCGCAAGGUUGAA
rnacentral:rRNA from 1 species